rfam:Ovis aries breed Texel chromosome 2, whole genome shotgun sequence.
UCCCUGGUGGUCAGGUGGCUAAGACUCCACACUCCCAAUGCAGGGGACCUGGGUUUGAUUCCUGGUCAGGGAA